CGAUAAGAAAUUAUUUUAAAUAUUAUUUAAAUAACAAUUUGAAAAAGACUAUUUAACCAUCUAAUUAACAUAUUUAAAGAAACAGUAACAUAAAACAGACUCUAUGUGUACCCCGGAACCAUUCAUGUCACACAUUCUGCUUAGUGCUUAUAUCCACUCACGCAUUUACUCUCUCGGACCCAUCUUCAAGUGCAGAGGUAACUUUGAUUGUUGAGUGCCAUAAUCAAGAAUUAUAACAGCAAUCCAGAUUCUCCUUAAUAAGAGAUUAUUACCGCGAAUACUAUAAGCAGAGCCUCACUUUACUCGAUUCAAGCUUUAAAAAGAGGAGUGAUUGCCUUGAGCUGCACAAAUAUUUAAAUAGAAGAGGAGGUGUUCUCGUCUUUCCAUGCGUUAAGUGUUACCGCAUUAUGACGAACGCACUUGAGAUUGUAGACAUACAAUGAAUUGCCUAUAAAUUCUGAAUAGAUGUCAAAAUUUUAUUGAGAAGAUUACAUGACACAAAGAAAGCAAAUACAUAGAAAGUAAUAAAAAUUUCACAGACGAAACAAUAGUUGAAGGGCCAAAUGAAAAUCCUAGUAAGAGCCAGAAUAAGUUGCCCGAUACAGCAGUCUGGCAAGCAAAGAUUUGUGCUUCCAUCGCACUCUACAGUCCUAAACAUUGUCCUCUCCACUACUCAUCAGUCACACAUCCCCUGGAAGCUGAUUGUACGUUCUUGAUGUACUUGUACAAAACUCCACAUGUAGCCUUAUAUGGAGGGGGAGUCCAAUUCUUUCUUCGUUCUUCCAUUUCCUGGUCUGUUACAUCAACAUCUAUUCUCCUCUCUCGGACAUCAAUUCUGAUGAUGUCGCCAUUUCUAACAAGACCAAUUGGACCACCUUCCUGUAGAUAAUAAGCAAAAUGCUCUUUCACAACUUUUCAAAAUCAAUUCACAUGCCAAGAUUAUUAUAUUUCAAUCAGUGUUUUAAUAACACAGGGUGUGAGCCGCAUCAUGCCAUCAAGGUACACAUAACUGUUCAAGUUGCAUGUUGAAACACUAGUUUUCUCUGCUUAACUAACAUUUAAAAUAACUGAUAAUUAUGACAUAGACAUUCCAAUAUCCCAAACCAGAAAUAAAAUAAACACCAAAUUUACACAAGUAAUGAAAAGGAAAUGCACCUGUGCUUCGGGGCAUAUAUGACCAACAACAAAUCCAUGAGAACCUCCUGAAAACCUACCAUCAGUCAACAAUGCACAAUCCUGUAGGAUUCAACAGAAAAUGAAAUGAAACUGUCGAGUUAAAUGCAAAAAUAUUUGUACUUUCUGUUAACCAAAAAAAUCACCCAAGAGCAUCAACAGGCUGCAGAUUGAAUGCAGGGGGAAAAAGAAUCAUUUAGAAGACAAGAGACCAGAAAAGGAAAGUGCAGGUGCAAAAAUAUUUACAUUAUCAAAGAGGUCAAUGAGUUUAGCUUUGAAGAACCAAUUGGUGAUCAAGGAUUCAAGGUAAAUGCCAACUUUAUUUUAACAUAAAAGAAAAAUAAAAAAUAAAAAAUAAGUCAACUGUUAAGAUUAAUCAAGUAAUAUGCCAUCUCGCAAUUCAACAAACCAGAAAAUUAUAUGAUUUAAGUCAAUUCAUGACUACACUAGACCACCAAUUAAGAAGCAGAACUCAGAUUUCAUAUUAAUAUACCUUCCCGAGACCAGCUCCCAUGAUUGCACUUGUUGGAGUUAGCAUUUCAGGCAUGCCUGGUCCUCCCUUAGGCCCCUCACCUCUUAUAACUACUACUUUCCCCUGGCAAAUAACGUGUACAAGCCAAAUUAGAUAUUAUAGCUCCAUAUGUAAGUUCCACAUUAAAUUAUUGUAGUCACAAAAACAAUAAACUGGGUAGUAAUCCAAUGAAAAAGUGAUAUAACAAUAUGUUCAGAUAAAUCUUAGACAGGCAUAAACUUUUAAAAAUGCAGAUGAGAGGUGGUCCAGAGGGAGCCCUUUGUUCAAGAAUCAAACUUCUACUGGUUUUCUUGUGAUGUAGCAUAAGCAACAAAGAUGGCAUAGCUGAUAGAUGGAAUCUAAAACAUAACUUCCAGUGCCUCAAAAACUUUUAUGUGCAAGAUUUUUACUAAUGGAGAUGUAGGAGAAAACCUUUUCAUGUCUGUAAUUGAUUAAUUAGAAAAAUGCAUUUUGUUAAAUCAAUUAUCAAUUCAGUAAGGGAGAGAGAACAGUGCAGGCUUGUCUCUCCAAAACCAUGCGAAUGUAAAGGAAAGGACUAUCUCCAGAUUUGGGUGCUAAUAUGGAAGUGCUAUUACAAGUUAGGAGCAAUUGGCGACAAAGGAUAGAACGGUCAAUAAUCAGCCAUUCAAACCCAACAAAAAGCAUUACAUAGGUAACUCCAGCACUAACUUUUUUAUAAUAAAAAAAAAUACAAAAUAACUAUGGCUUUCCUCAUAACCAACCAACCAAUUGCUUUUCCAAAGAAGUGGCCAAAAUGCCCCAAAAUCAGUUCUGAUAAAUAAGAACCAACAUUUUGAAUCUAAUCCCUUUUAAAUUUCCAGUUGUGCUGCUUCAAUAGCUAUCAGAAAAAAGAGUUAAGAGUUUACAAGCAUGCUGUCAAUCCUGCGAAGUUCAACACCUUUUAAGGCCCUCUAAAAUUUUGGACCUGAAUUCAGUACCAAUCGGUUAUGUAACACAAGGAACUGGUGACGGGGAUAAAGGGUACAACACACCAAUAUGCUUACCUUAAAAUUCAUAGGAUUUUCCGAGAUAGCUGCAAGCAUAGCUUCCUCUCCUUCAAAGACAAGUGCAGGACCUGGAGAAUUGUGUUUGUUUCAUUACAUCAGUCUUCGCACAAAAUGAUAGCUAAAACCCUAAAACAAGUAGCUGGACAUGGGUCAUCAAGAAACAGAAAAUAGCACCAGAGAAAUAGAGUCCUUCUUUUCCAGUGAUUUUUGCUACAGAACCCUCUGGUGCAAGGUUCCCUUGUAAUAUUUGGAUGUGACCUGUUUUCUUGAUGGGGUUCUCCAAUGGCCUUAUUAUGUCCUGUCCCUCAGACAAAGGUGGGCAGUUUUGCACAUUUUCAGCCAAUGUCUUCCCAGUCACAGUCAAACAAUCCCCAUCCAGAAAACCAUGUUCCAAAAGAUAGCGAAGGACUGCAGGUGUUCCUCCAAUCUGUGAAGAGAUUUAUUUGUUUGGACAGGAUGACCAACAAAUAAAGUCAAACAAAUGUUACAAAUGUUAGCUAAAUGUAAGGUGCCAGAAGGGAUGCAAGGUCAUUGAUGACACUGAUAAGAAAUACAUAUUUAAAAAUCUGCACCUUAUGCACAUCCUCCAUAACAUAUUUACCACUAGGCUUUAGAUCUGCAAGGAAUGGAACCUCAUCGCUAACCUUCUGGAAAUCUUCAAGUGUUAACUCCAGUCCAACAGACCUGCCAAGAUCUCAUGAGCUCCAUAUGAUGCAGUUAUCAAUGGUAUCCAGGGAAUACUAUUCUUACCUGGCAAUUGGAAUUAAGUGUAACACAGCAUUGGUAGACCCACCCAAUGCCAUGACAACAACCAUUGCAUUACGUAGUGACUGAGGAGUGAUAAUAUUUUGUGGUUUCAAGUCCAUUUUCAAUAAUUCUAAAAGAUACUUUCCAGCUAAACGGCACUCAUCCAACUUCAAUGGGUUUUCAGCAGGUAUUGAAGAGCUGUAAGGAAGACACAUUCCCAUGGCCUCAAUAGCAGAAGCCAUUGUGUUAGCUGUAUACAUUCCACCACAAGCCCCUGCACCAGGGCACGAAUUGUGGACUACAUUUUUUCUAUCCUCAUCACUUAUAGAACCAUUUACAUAUUCUCCAUAAGCCUGAAAGGCAGAUAUUAUAUCAUAAGAAUGACCAUUAUAAUGUCCGGGCUUUAUGGUUCCACCAUAAACCAUAAUACUAGGUCGAUUGAGCCUCCCCAUUGCCAUAAUUGUACCUGGCAUAUUUUUAUCGCAACCAGGGAUGGAGAUAUUCCCGUCAUACCACUGAGCACUCAUGACAGUCUCAAUACUAUCCGCAAUCAAAUCUCUACUUUGCAAGCUAUAACACAUCCCUCUAGUUCCCAUAGAGAUAGCAUCGCUGACCCCAAUUGUGUUAAACCUGAAGCCAACCAUCCCUGCCUCUUUCACUCCUUCCUUAACAGCCUCUGAUAGCCUCAGCAAGUGCAUAUUGCAAGUGUUCCCUUCGUACCAGACUGAGGAGAUACCUAUCUGAGGUUUAUUGAGGUCUUCGUCUGAUAGACCAACUCCAUGGAGGAUUGCUUGUGACCCGCCUUGGGAUUUGGGCUCAGUGAUGCGAGAACUGUACUUGUUCAGUUUGUGAGCUACGGUAGAUGCCUGUGAAGGGUCUGUGGCAACAACAGGCUGCGAUUGUGCUACAACGCGGAGAGACGAGGGCCGUGUCAAGAAAUGGGGCUGACUAAUGACGCCAUGGAAAGGGUUUGCGACUUUGGUUGGGUUGGCACGUGGCGAGACGAAGGUAGAUUGCAUGGUGGCGCGUGUGAGAGUGGCGGCGUAGUAGUGGGAAAAUUGGGGAGGAGCCGAGGAGUAAUCGGAGCUUGCAGGGAAAGGGAAAGGGAAAAUGUAGGUGCUAUAUAUGCCAAGGUGCACGUGACAAAUAUGUCGGUGUGGUGCCGUGUUGUGUUUUGCAGCUAAUGGGUCCAAGUCUCCACGAGGUCAUUAGGGUUUUGCAGAUUUGGUAACGUUGAUG
rnacentral:misc_RNA from 1 species